UAACACCGCUUCCCGUACAAUCAUCGGAGUUAAGCAACGUCAAGCCUGGCCCUUACCUAGAUGGGUGACCGCUUGGGAAUACCAGGUGCUGUAAG